GUCGAGGAUCUUCGGCAAUGGGCGCAAGCCUGACCGAGCGACGCCGCGUGUGCGAUGAAGGCCUUCGGGUUGUAAAGCACUGUCGAGGGGAAGAAAAGCCGCAAGGCUUGAUCGACCCCUGGAGGAAGCACGGGCUAAGUUCGUGCCAGCAGCCGCGGUAAGACGAACCGUGCGAACGUUGUUCGGAAUCACUGGGCUUAAAGGGCGCGUAGGCGGGCAGGCAAGUCAGGGGUGAAAUCCCACGGCUCAACCGUGGAAGUGCCUUUGAUACUGCUUGUCUGGAGGGAGAUAGGGGCGUGCGGAACUUCCGGUGGAGCGGUGAAAUGCGUAGAUAUCGGAAGGAACACCGGUGGCGAAAGCGGCGCGCUGGAUCUCUACUGACGCUGAGGCGCGAAAGCCAGGGGAGCAAACGGGAUUAGAUACCCCUGUAGUCC
rnacentral:rRNA from 1 species